AAGUCCAGAGGAGCAGAGAAAGUGCUGGCAGACACAGAGGAUGGAGCAACUCACUUAUUUUAGAAGAACCAAAGAAGGCUUCACAGAGCUGAAUAAUCUCUUUAACUGAUUAACUGAAGUUAAUUCUCACUGGCCAGCAAAAAGUUCGGUGAAAUUAGCCUCGGGAGAAACUAAGAUGGCAAAGGCUAUUUUGUGGGAGGUAAGAGAAGAGGGAGAAACAGAGACAAGAGACAGUAGGGGGGAAUGGCUAAGAAUGGUCCGUCUGGGCAUUGUUGGUGAAACGGCUUAGUGGUUGUGGAGUCACUAGAGCCACACGUUGUAUGUGAAGUCAUCAAAGCGGACAUCAGGGAGCCCUGGAGUUGGUCCCUCAUCCCCAGGAAAGGAGGACACCGGCUUUCCACCAGCCUCAGCAGGUCCACCCUCAGACAAGGCUCCCCAUAGGCUCCUCCUCAGGCUGUCCUGCUGUGAACAUUGACCCCACAAUCUGCACAACCUGUGUAGAAUCACUUCCAAGUUGACCAAGACUUGCUAAAUUAUCUCAUGAAGGACAACAAAGGCACAACUUAAAAAUGGAAGAAGGUGAAUAUAAAGUAAACCCAAAACUCCUACUUUUUUGUCCCUUCUCACACUGCUAUAAAGAACAACCUGAGACUGGGUAAUUUAGAAAGAAAAGAGGUUUAAUUGGCUCACAGGUCCACAGGCUGUACAGGAGGCGUGGCUGGGGAGGCCUUAGGAAACUUACAAUCCUGGUGACAGGCAAAGGAGAAGCAGGCACGUCUUCACAUGGCAGCAGGAGGGAGCGAGAGAAGGGGGGAGUGCUACAUGCUUUUAAAAUACCAGAUCUCAUGAGAACUCACUGUCACAAGAACAGCAAGGGGGAUAUCUCCCACCAUGAUCCUAUCACCUCCCACCAGGCCCCUCCCCCAACAGUGGGAAUUACAAUUUCACAUGAUUUGGGUGGAGACAGAGAGCCAAACCAUGUCACCUACCUAUCAUUAAAAAGUAAUGUCCCAACCCAAACAAGCUUGGAGUCAAGGGCCAGCUCCUACCAAACUUCAAAUAUUGGUGUUUAAUAAUACGUGUCAUUUAGGAACAAUGACAAAAGAUGAACACAUGCAUCUUAAAAGCUGACUAGCAAAAGGCCAAAGAAGGAAAUGGGGAAGAAAAAGGAUAUAUUUUCCUUUUAUCAGAAACCUAGAUUAGGCCUAAACUCAACUGGACCGACUAUGAUCACCUCCUCACCUGCACAGGUGAAGCCACCAACCAUCCUAGGUUGUCUGGGACUCUUCUAGUUUUAGCAGUAAAAUUCCCACAUCCUGGGCAACUUGGGACAGAUGGUCACUGUGGGUCCAGGUCAUGGACUAUGAGAAUAUGAGAAUAUGAGUUUGGGUUUGGAAGACUUCCAGCUGACUCCUGGACUGCCACUUACUAGAUGUGGGCCACUUAAUUUCUCUGAGUUUCAUUCAGUUCCUGCACUCUAAAAACGAGGUUUGAAAGGCUGUCUUCAUAGGAUUGUUUGCAAGGAUUAAACCGUAAGGGAACAUAAAACACAGAAUCGGUGGUACACAGCAAGCUCUCAAUCCAUGUGAGAUGGGAAACAUUUAUCUGCAACCGUAGCCAGCAUAGUUGGGGCAGGAUUACCCAGAGACGAUGGCGAGCAUCAGGUGAAGCAGAUGGAGAUGUGGGCAGUUGUUGCUUCCUUACAGAGCUGGUCCCUGUCAUUUGCACAUUUGUCCCCAGCCCUGGGUCCUGGCAAGAAGCCUGGACAAGGAAGCUCUCUAUGGGUGCUCGAGAGCCACUGGCAGACGCAUGUGCAGUCAGGCAAGAAAGCCACACGCCCAGGCCGCAGCGGCCCUGCCAGUAAGCACUGAGCACCCAGGCAGAUGGGAGAACCAAGCUGCAAGCCUUUCCUAGUCUCCCUAUGAUGAAUGAAUGACUGUCCUCGUGGGACCACUUCGCAGCAGAGCUAGCAAGAGCCGCGGCACGGAUCCUGCCUACACACCUGUGCUCCCGAGCCCUGCAGAGCUUUGGGUCUUCUCACUAGCGGAGUGAGGAUGAGGGUGUGCUGACCACAGCAAGGUUGUGUGCGUGCCUCCAUGGAGGUGCGCAGAGCAGAAACGCUGCCCCUCGCACUGCCAUGGUGGUAAGGAGAGGAAAUAAAACCCAUGUCUUUUCAAAGAUUGUGUGAGUGUCCUUGAACUCCUCUUCUGGCUUUUCAGCAGCUGUUUGGCAUAUACAGGCGAAUGACAGAGAGGAAGAGGGGGCAGAGACUUGUGUAGAUGCCAGUGUGUUGCUCACUGCAGGCAGCACUGACUGAGCUCCUGCCGUGAGGCUGACACAGUCCCUGCCCUCCUGGAGAUUAACCCUUUAGCAUGGGGAGGUGACAGCAGACAAAUCAGUAAGUAAGAGAGUGUUUGAUGGUAAUAAGUGUCCUGAACACAAAACCAAAACAGUAAAGUGAUGAGUAAUGGGGAGCAGGGGGACUUUCUCAGAUGGGAGUCGGGGAGGACCUCUGUAAUGGGUCAUGUCCGAGCCAAGAGGAGGCUGAUGCCAAGGAGGAGGCAGCCAUCCGAGAGGCAGGAGGCGCGUGCAGGAAGAUGGCACAGUGGCGCCAAGACCAGGGAUGGGAGCAAGCAUGGGUCUGCCCGGAAUAGGAGUAGCUGCGG
rnacentral:lncRNA from 1 species